ACAAUAAAGUGUCGAAAUACAUUAUAGCAGUUUACAGAUAAAAUAAAACUUAAAUUGAUUUAUAAUUCAACCUUCAAGCAUUUCAUGAAAAUUCUGGUGUGCCCUUCAAAUACGAUUUUGUGAGGUAUGAAAUGCUGGAAUUCACACUGAUGAAGCUGGGUGCGUCGGCUCGGAAAAUACAAUCAGGUCGAUUUUUAUUGCCUCGAGAGGAGCGGUUCCAACUGUUGGCAUCCCGACAAAAAAGACGCAGUUUUUUAAUAUGGAGGCUUCCUGGGAAAAGGCUGGAAUGUUGACUUUAUAAUUUACCAUGUACGAACACAAACAAGCUCAAAUCAAACAAAACAAGAGAGGUAUAAAUUUAAUUUAGUAAAGUGCUGUAAUGAAAGAGUUGCAUAGCCAACAAUCACAUGCAGGUAAAAUUAGAUUGAUCAGUCUGAUUAAUAAUAAUUGACACUAAGAGAUAUAUCGAGCAUAUAUAUAGUACAAAUAAAUCGUUAAACUUAUUUACACAGGAUUUCCUUCUCAAGCACAAGGGCCGCAUAACAUCCAGCAACAAUUUGAUGACGCCCGCUCAUUAUGUUGCAUAAUUAACAUUACCGAUUUUGUAUGAAACAAUAUACUUCUGUACUUGUGGUUUACGAAUAUAUCUUGAUUUUGUUUA